rnacentral:lncRNA from 1 species
CCUGGACUUCCUCAUUAAAUUUUGAGAGGAAUCAGGACGAGAUGUUUUUGCUUUAAUUUUUUUUAAAAAGCAAAUGAAAUAAGGAAUCGAAAUCACUGAAGGGUAUUUUUUUUUAAGUUUUAAAUACAGACUUUCAUGUACAGCCUUACAGAACGAGUAAUGCCUAAGAAACUUCUCCCCCCCAUUCAACAGGCCUGGAAUUUACUGUUGAUAAAAUGUUCAGAAUUAAAUCAUAAUAACUUCAGUGUCAGUAAAGGUGAAUCACAAAGUUAGGAAGGUUCUCUCCUCAAUGGGUUAUCUGUUUGUUUAGGUUCAUUCAUUCAGUAGUAUUUAUUGAGCGCUUACUAUGUGCAGAGCACUGUACUAAGCGCUUGGGAUGAACAAGUCGGCAACAGAUAGAGACAGUCCCUGCCGUUUGACGGGCUUACAGUCUAAUCAGGGGAGACGGACAGACGAGAACAAUGGCACUAAACAGCGUCAAGAGGAAGAACAUCUCGUAAAAAUGUUGAGGCCAAUCGGGUUGAGGCCAAUCGGGCAGAACCUCGAGAGAGCAAAAGCCAUGGCCCAGGAUAUGCAGACUCCAGCCAGUGGGGAAGCAGGAUAAUGCCCAAUGCUGCCAAUGGAUGGACAGGUCAACUCCUCCCCAGCUGGCAACAGGGUUAUGUCCCUCAAGGUAGCUAAGGACCACCUUCUCUCUGAAGAGGAGCCCCACCUCCUCCAGGUUUUGCUCCAGAUGGAUUUCCUUCCUACACAAGGAUUCCCUCAGGGAAACAACAACCCUCCUCAUUUUAGUUUUGGCUGUGAACUUCUACCACCUCCACCAGAUCAGUUUGGCCCUCCUGGAGUGCCUCCUCCACCUGUAACUCCUGGCGUAACAGCACUUGCUUUUCCGUCACCCCCCAACUUUCCCCUCCCACCAUCAUCAUCUCAGUCAACUCAAGACUUGAGCAAAGCCCCAACAGUCCAGCCAGAUUUCCCCUACAGCCAGUUUGGUAAGCAGUUGUCCACUCUGUCUGGGAUAUUGUUAAUUUCUUUCCAAAAAGGAGUUUGGGACUAUGUGUUAUGCAUGCUCACAUGCUUGUAUCCUAAUACAGUUUGGGAGUUUGGGAAUGUCAGAUGCUCAGCAGGAGCAGGGCCAAAGUCUUUUGGUAGUCUCUUGUUCUGUGUAGCACUCAUACCUCAAAAUUGUAAGUUGGUGCUGUUCCCUAGUUCAACCUAUCCACACAGUAGGGCAGUAUAACUUAGCUAGAAGCAGUGUGGCUCCGUGGAAAGAGCACGGGCUUUAGAGUCAGAAUUCAUGGGUUCGAAUCCCGGCUCGGCCACUUGUCAGCUGUGUGACUUUGGGCAAGUCACUUAACUUCUCUGUGCCUCAGUUACCUCAUCUGUAAAAUGGGGAUUAAGACUGUGAGCCCCACGUGGGACAACCUGAUUCCCCUGUGUCUACCCCAGCGCUUAGAACAGUGCUUGGCACAUAGUAAGCGCUUAACAAAUACCAACAUUAUUAUUAUUAUUAUUAGCUAG